rnacentral:lncRNA from 1 species
UUCACUCAAGUGUUUGGGGGCAAUCCUAUUUCACUCAAUCAUGACAUGUUAACCACCAUUCACAACUUUGAAAAGAUUCUAAAUGACAGUGCUUGACUCAAGGUUUCUCUAAAUCAAUAGGUCUUUCUUUGACUUGUAAUGUUCAUGGAAUGGAAUGGAAAAAUAGAAAAGAAUGGGAACUGGAAUGAAAUAGAAAACUGUGAAGAAAUAGGAGAAAACUAGAACUCAGGACGUUAUCUAUCUCUCAAGCUUUGGCCAGAUGAAUUUCUUUUCUUUCUUAUUUUCUGGUUCACUUUUUCUGAUUCAUUUCAGGUCGUUUCUUUUACUCUCUUUUUCUAAUUUUUCUCAUUUCUAGACCUUUUCUUUCUUUUUCAACCACACCAGAAUUUUCAGCACAUUUUUAUUUUCUUUCUCUCCUUUGGCCUCACUAUUUUUUUAUGCAUUCACCAAGUUCUAGAUUCUCCCUAGUUCUCACAAUUCUCUAAGGUUAUGUAAAGGUUAGGGGGAAAUGGCUUGAAAUGGAUGGAAAGCAAAGAAAACAGGCUAAGGCUCAAAUGAGGUGCAAUAGUAAGAAAAUGAAAUGGGUAAGCUAAAAUGGAAAGUGAAGGAUGCCUACAUCAUAUUUAAAUCUACCAAGAGCAAGCACAUCAACAAAGAAUCAAUGCAAAAUCAAAAUGAAAGCUAAACAUGCAUGUUAUCACACAAGAAAGACAAAAAUUGGCCCAAAAUCUCUAAAGGGUUUAAAAUUUGUUAAAACUAACUUGCUACUCAUCCUAUGCAAAAAUUACUGAAUUGAAAUGAACUAGAGACUGCAAAAUCAAUGCUAGAACUACCUCUGCCUAAAUCUAAAGCUAAGUCUACUCUUGACAAUUCAAAUCUAAGGAAAUGAAUCUAAAAAUUGAGUGAAAUCAGAAAGGAAUGAA